rnacentral:sRNA from 1 species
CAGCGCUCCUAGAGCCGCCCUGGCUCCUCUCCCUGCGUAACCUCCUGAGCCGCGGACAACUGAACAAACACGCAGGAGCCCAGGGAUCUGUCAAGAACCUUGUCCUCCU